rnacentral:rRNA from 1 species
GACGAACGCUGGCAGCGUGCUUAACACAUGCAAGUCGAACGGUGACCCAGGGCUUGCCCUGGUGAUCAGUGGCGAACGGGUGAGUAACACGUGGGCAACCUGCCCCUGACUUCGGGAUAACUCCUCGAAAGAGGAGCUAAUACCGGAUACGACCACUUCGGUACAAUCCGAUGGUGGUGGAAAGUUUUUACGGUUCAGGGAUGGGCCCGGCGGCCUAUCAGCUAGUUGGUGGGGUAAGUGGCCUACCAAGGCGACGACGGGUAGCCGGCCUGAGAGGGCGACCGGCCGACACUGGGACUGAGACACGGCCCAGACUCCUACGGGAGGCAGCAGUGGGGAAUAUUGCGCAAUGGGCGAAAGCCUGACGCAGCGACGCCGCGUGAGGGAUGAAGGCCUUCGGGUUGUAAACCUCUUC